rnacentral:rRNA from 1 species
UACGGAGGAUCCGAGCGUUGUCCGGAUUUAUUGGGUUUAAAGGGAGCGUAGGUGGAUUGUUAAGUCAGUUGUGAAAGUUUGCGGCUCAACCGUAAAAUUGCAGUUGAAACUGGCAGUCUUGAGUACAGUAGAGGUGGGCGGAAUUCGUGGUGUAGUGGUGAAAUGCUUAGAUAUCACGAAGAACUCCGAUUGCGAAGGCAGCUCACUGGACUGCAACUGACACUGAGGCUCGAAAGUGUGGGUAUCAAACAGG